UACGGAGGGUGCAAGCGUUGUCCGGAUUUAUUGGGUUUAAAGGGUGCGUAGGCGGUUCUUUAAGUCCGGGGUGAAAGCCCACUGCUCAACAGUGGAACUGCCCUGGAAACUGGAGAACUUGAGUACAGACGAGGGCGGCGGAAUGGAUGCUGUAGCGGUGAAAUGCAUAGAUAGCAUCCAGAACCCCGAUUGCGUAGGCAGCUGACUAGGCUGGUACUGACACUGAGGCACGAAAGCGUGGGGAGCGAACAGG
rnacentral:rRNA from 1 species